rnacentral:rRNA from 1 species
GUUCUGGCAUCGAUGAAGAACGCAGCGAAAUGCGAUAAGUAAUGUGAAUUGCAGAAUUCAGUGAAUCAUCGAAUCUUUGAACGCACAUUGCGCCCGCCAGUAUUCUGGCGGGCAUGCCUGUCCGAGCGUCAUUUCAACCCUCGAACCCCUCCGGGGGGUCGGCGUUGGGGAUCGGCCCUCCCUUAGCGGGUGGCCGUCUCCGAAAUACAGUGGCGGUCUCGCCGCAGCCUCUCCUGCGCAGUAGUUUGCACACUCGCAUCGGGAGCGCGGCGCGUCCACAGCCGUUAAACACCCAACUUCUGAAAUGUUGACCUCGGAUCAGGUAGGAAUACCCGCUGAACUUAAGCAUAUCAAUAAGCGGAGGAAAAGAAACCAACAGGGAUUGCCCCAGUAACGGCGAGUGAAGCGGCAACAGCUCAAAUUUGAAAUCUGGCCCCUAGGGUCCGAGUUGUAAUUUGUAGAGGAUGCUUUUGGUGAGGUGCCGCCCGAGUUCCCUGGAACGGGACGCCACAGAGGGUGAGAGCCCCGUCUGGCUGGCCGCCGAGCCUCUGUAAAGCUCCUUCGACGAGUCGAGUAGUUUGGGAAUGCUGCUCAAAAUGGGAGGUAUAUGUCUUCUAAAGCUAAAUAUUGGCCAGAGACCGAUAGCGCACAAGUAGAGUGAUCGAAAGAUGAAAAGCACCUUGAAAAGAGGGUUAAAUAGUACGUGAAAUUGUUGAAAGGGAAGCGCUUGUGACCAGACUUGGGCGCGGCGGAUCAUCCGGGGUUCUCUCCGGUGCACUUCGCCGCGUCUAGGCCAGCAUCAGUUCGUCGCGGGGGAAAAAGGCUUCGGG